GGGACUUUAAUUUAAAUUUAAAAUAUACAGCUUGCAUUUGUAAAAUUUAAGUUCUAU
rnacentral:tRNA from 1 species